ensembl:lncRNA
AUCUUCAACAGAAAGAGGAGAGGCUUUCCUGGUCAGCAUCAUCUGAUACAGCCAACCACAAAGCCAGCCCCUGGACCCGACUAUAAGCUCAAAACAGCUUUUCUGUAGAGCUCUUGAUCCUUGCACAUCUGGAAAGAGAACAUCACAAGUGGCACCGCUUUGGCAGACGGAGCUGUGUCAAACAGAAGUCUAAGCCUGCACUCAGUCCUAUGUAUCUUCUUUCCCAGCAUGAGCACCUGACUAAACCUCAGAAGUAGGAGAAGGUUCUGGGACGUCAUCUUGCCCCAGUCUACCUCCCUCGACUUCAGCCCUACCUGCUUAUCCUUUCCCUGACCUAACUGAUUCCCAAAUUCAGUCCCUUCAAAGAUAUUCAAUAGGAGAUUGAUUAUAAUCAGAACAUGCUUAUUACUGCUCUGAGUUGCUCAUUGCAAACCAUUGCUGAAUACUGCUAGGUACUAAGCUUUGUUUCCAUGAUGCAAUCUCACCUCCUGGAAGGGUCUUACAUGGAUUAGGUGAGGAAAAGUUCCAGCACAUGGGAACUAUAAGAAAAUCUGGAACAGAGGCCAAAAGUGACCCAGAAAUGAAAUCUCCCUUACCUUGAUAUGUGCCCCACUCUCCUCAACAACUUCAGACCGGCCACUUCUUGACAGCUUGCCUUAGACUUGUCUUUGAUUUUCUGACACUUGUCUGCAUGAACUUACACCAUCUCUGCUUGAGGUUCCAAUUGCUAGUUGUCAGGCUGCCCUGGCUUCUGUCCUCUAAGCUCCCUCUGUGAGCUCCGAGCAGCAAGCUGCUCCCUUGCUGACUCCAUCCUGGCCUGACCCUUUCUCUGAUGAAAGGCAGGUCCCACUUGAUUGUCAGUUUCAUCUGACACAGAAUAAUGAACAACCAGAGCCACUUACUUCCCAGCAAGCAGGAGCAGUCAUCAUCAAAAGCUUCCAGGCAGAUGAUGAUAUAAUCAAAGCCUUGUUUAGGGGAUAUAUAUAUAUUUUAAAACUGGCCACAGUGAAAUAUAGACUUGCCCCUAAGGUCUGUGCAGCCCAGGGCAUAAGUACAAAUGGAAACCCACAUG